GACGAACGCUGGCGGCGUGCUUAACACAUGCAAGUCGAACGGAAAGGCCUGCUUUCCCUUGUGGAUUGCGGGUACUCGAGUGGCGAACGGGUGAGUAACACGUGAGUGAUCUGCCCCCAACUUGGGUAUAAGCCUGGGAAACUGGGUCUAAUUCCCGAUAGGACUGCAGGGUGGUGCCUGUGGUGGAAAACGAUUUUCUAGUGGUUGGGGAUGAGCUCGCGGCCUAUCAGCUUGUUGGUGGGGUAAUGGCCUACCAAGGCGGCGACGGGUAGCCGGCCUGGGGGGGUGGACGGCCACAUUGGGACUGAGAUACGGCCCAGACUCCGACGGGAGGCAGCAGUGGGGAAUAUUGCACAAUGGGCGGAAGCCUGAUGCAGCGACGCCGCGUGGGGGAUGACGGCCUUCGGGUUGUAAACUCCUUUCGACCGCGAGGAAGCCACCUGGUUGGAAGGGUGGUGACGGUAGUGGUAGAAGAAGCACCGGCUAACUACGUG
rnacentral:rRNA from 1 species